rnacentral:rRNA from 1 species
UACGGAGGGGGUUAGCGUUGUUCGGAAUUACUGGGCGUAAAGCGCGCGUAGGCGGAUUGGAAAGUUAGGGGUGAAAUCCCGGGCUCAACCCCCGGAACGUGCCUCCAAAACUUCCAGUCGUGGAGUUCGAGUAGAGGUGAGUGGAAUUCCGAGUGUAGAGGUGAAAUUCGUAGAUAUUCGGAGGAACACCAGUGGCGAAGGCGGCUCACUGGCUCGAUACUGACGCUGAGGUGCGAAAGUGUGGGGAGCAAACAGGAUUAGAUACCCCCGUAGU